rnacentral:rRNA from 1 species
ACGGGAGGCAGCAGUGAGGAAUAUUGGUCAAUGGGCGGAAGCCUGAACCAGCCAUGCCGCGUGAAGGAAUAAGGCCCUAUGGGUCGUAAACUUCUUUUGAGCGGGAGCAAUAAGGCGCACGCGUGCGCCGAUGAGAGUACCGUUCGAAUAAGCAUCGGCUAACUCCGUGCCAGCAGCCGCGGUAAUACGGAGGAUGCAAGCGUUAUCCGGAUUUAUUGGGUUUAAAGGGUGCGUAGGCUGCUUGUCAAGUCAGAGGUGAAAGCCCGGGGCUCAACUCCGGAACUGCCUUUGAUACUGGCAGGCUUGAAUACUGUUGCCGUGGGAGGAAUGAGUAGUGUAGCGGUGAAAUGCAUAGAUAUUACUCAGAACACCGAUUGCGAAGGCAUCUCACGAAGCAGGGAUUGACGCUGAGGCACGAAAGCGUGGGGAUCAAACAGGAUUAGAUACCCUGGUA